CCUUUGCUUGAUCUCUCUGCCCUAUGGCCACCGUUGAGCCAACUCAGAACGGCACCGCCGCGGCUUCAGAACCACUCCCUCUCGACAAUGCGGCGGCGUAAGCUGACGCCGGCACCGCCACCACUCCGGCUGAGAAGAGAUGGCCAGGUUGGCCUGGGAUUGCGUGCUUCGGCUCAUCGUGCUGGUCAGCAAGGUUGGAAUCAUCAUCACUCGAGCUGACAUUCGCAUUAUCGACGGUGCUGUUGGCACUCCUGAUCGAAUUUAGUAUGAACGUUGGUGCAACAUCAGAGGCAGCACAAUAUGUGAGAUAUGCAAGCAGAUUUACCAGCAUUUGGUGUUGGUCGACUUUCAGCUAUAAACAACAUCACCAGAAGACAUGAAAAAAUCAAGGCAAAGCUGAUGUUAGAAGACUUCGCCAUUCUUCUUCUAAUUCACUUUUUAUUUAUUGCUCUCUGAUGUUAAUGUUGUGGUUUUAGAUAUUGUGGUUAAAGUUUAUAUAGGAGAAAGCCAAUGCGCUUAGAGACAACUGGUUUUCGAGGUAUGUCAUUUGUUUUGAGGAUGGAAGCCGGCUAUACCUUAAUUCUCUGUAGUCAGCAUAUAAUAUUUGGAUAUAAUUUUGGCAUUGGUGGUUCAGUGUGCAUUUUAUCAUAAGUUGAUGCUUCUUCCCU